rnacentral:rRNA from 1 species
GAUGAACGCUGGCGGCGUGCCUAAUACAUGCAAGUCGAGCGAACAGACGAGGAGCUUGCUCCUCUGACGUUAGCGGCGGACGGGUGAGUAACACGUGGAUAACCUACCUAUAAGACUGGGAUAACUUCGGGAAACCGGAGCUAAUACCGGAUAAUAUAUUGAACCGCAUGGUUCAAUAGUGAAAGACGGUUUUGCUGUCACUUAUAGAUGGAUCCGCGCCGCAUUAGCUAGUUGGUAAGGUAACGGCUUACCAAGGCAACGAUGCGUAGCCGACCUGAGAGGGUGGCCGACCACAAGGGAACGGAGACACGGCCCAGCCUCAGCCGGGAGGCAGCAGAGGGGAUUUCUCCGGAAGGGGCGAAGCCCGGAAGGAGCACCGCCGCGGGAGUGAUGAAGUUCUUCGGAUCUUAAAACUUUUUUAUUGGGGAAGAAAAAAUGGGAAAGAAACUAGGCACGUCUGGAGGGACCCUAAUAAGAAACCCACGCCAAACUCCGUC